GUGGGGAAUCUUCCGCAAUGGACGAAAGUCUGACGGAGCAACGCCGCGUGAGUGAUGAAGGUCUUCGGAUUGUAAAGCUCUGUUAAUCGGGACGAAAGAGCCUAGUGUGAAUAAUGCUAGGAAGUGACGGUACCGGAAUAGAAAGCCACGGCUAACUACGUGCCAGCAGCCGCGGUAAUACGUAGGUGGCAAGCGUUGUCCGGAAUUAUUGGGCGUAAAGCGCGCGCAGGCGGAUCUGCCAGUCUGUCUUAAAAGUUCGGGGCUUAACGCCGUGAUGGGAUGGAAACUACAGAUCUAGAGUAUCGGAGAGGAAAGUGGAAUUCCUAGUGUAGCGGUGAAAUGCGUAGAUAUUAGGAAGAACACCAGUGGCGAAGGCGACUUUCUGGACGAAAACUGACGCUGAGGCGCGAAAGCCAGGGGAGCGAACGGGAUUAGAAACCCGGGUAGUCC
rnacentral:rRNA from 1 species